UCAGUUCGGAUCGAAGUCUGCAACCCGACUUCGUGAAGCUGGAUUCGCUAGUAAUCGCGCAUCAGCCAUGGCGCGGUGAAUACGUUCCCGGGCCUUGUACACACCGCCCGUCAAGCCAUGAAAGCCGGGGGUACCUGAAGUACGUAACCGCAAGGAUCGUCCUAGGGUAAAACUGGUAAUUGGGGCUAAGUCGUAACAAGGUAGC
rnacentral:rRNA from 1 species